UACGGAGGGUGCAAGCGUUAUCCGGAAUCACUGGGUUUAAAGGGUGCGUAGGCGGACCGAUAAGUCAGAGGUGAAAUCCCGUCGCUUAACGAUGGAAUUGCCUUUGAUACUGUUGGUCUUGAAUUAGGUUGAGGUUUGCGGAAUGUGGCAUGUAGCGGUGAAAUGCUUAGAUAUGCCAUAGAACACCGAUUGCGAAGGCAGCAAACUGGCCCUUGAUUGACGCUGAGGCACGAAAGCGUGGGGAGCGAACAGG
rnacentral:rRNA from 1 species